rnacentral:siRNA from 1 species
AAGAGAAACGAAAAAAUCUCUUA